rnacentral:piRNA from 1 species
UCUUCAGGUACAGAAUUGUAAGGAAAAUGU